UGGGGAAUUUUGCACAAUGGGGGGAACCUUGAUGCAGCGACGCCGCGUGAGGGAUGGAGGCCUUCGGGUUGUGAACCUCUUUCGCUCGUGUGCAAGCCGCUAUUUGGGUAGUGGUGAGUGUAGCGGGUAAAGAAGCGCCGGCUAACUACGUGCCAGCAGCCGCGGUAAUACGUAGGGCGCGAGCGUUGUCCGGAUUUAUUGGGCGUAAAGGGCUUGUAGGCGGUUUGUUGCGCCUGUCGUGUAAUCCUCUGGCUUAACUGGGGGUGUGCGGGGGGUACGGGCAGGAGUGAGUGGGGUAGGGGGGAGUGGAAUUCCUGGUGUAGCGGUGGGAUGCGCAGAUAUCAGGGAGAACACCGGUGGCGAGGGGGGGUCUCUGGGGCGUUACUGACGCUGGGGAGCGAAAGAGGGGGGAGAGAACAAG
rnacentral:rRNA from 1 species